rnacentral:rRNA from 1 species
UAACGCGUGGGAAUCUGCCCUGGAGUGGGGAAUAACGACGGGAAACUGUCGCUAAUACCGCAUACGCCCUUAGGGGGAAAGAUUUAUCGCUGAUAGAUGAGCCCGCGUACGAUUAGCUAGUUGGUGAGGUAAUGGCUCACCAAGGGUACGAUCGUUAGCUGGUCUGAGAGGAUGAUCAGCCACACUGGGACUGAGACACGGCCCAGACUCCUACGGGAGGCAGCAGUGGGGAAUAUUGGACAAUGGGCGAAAGCCUGAUCCAGCAAUGCCGCAUAAGUGAUGAAGGCCUUAGGGUUGU